rnacentral:misc_RNA from 1 species
UGGCUCUCGCAUCGAUGAAGAACGCAGCGAAAUGCGAUAAGUAAUGUGAAUUGCAGAAUUCAGUGAAUCAUCGAAUCUUUGAACGCACCUUGCGCCCUUUGGUAUUCCGAUGGGCAUGCCUGUUUGAGUGUCUUGAAAUCAUCAAACCCCCGGUUUUGCGAUUGCGGGGAUUGGACUUGGGGGCUCUGCUGCCGCGAGGUGGCUCCCCUUAAAUGCAUCGGUCGGGCCUACUGGGGCUCCGUCACCUGGGCGUUGUAUUACCCUCGCUCUGCCGACGUGCCUCAGCUUUGCGUGCCCGACCCCGACUUGCCUCUGGAGCGGCAGUCAACACUCUUUGAGAUCUGACCUCAAAUCAGGUAGGACUACCCGCUGA